ACCCGAACUGGAACAACCGGCGAUGGAAACGGCGAACCCAAACUAGAACAGCGGGCAAGGGAAACUGAAAGAUAUGGGUUUUGAUUUUUGGAACAAUCUGAAACAAUAUGCCGAUAUGGGUUUUGAACCUUUGAUUCUUGCAAAUGAUAGAUAAACAUAUGGGUUUGGAACUUGGAUUGUUGUAGUUUUGUGGUUUGCAGUUGCAAAAGAGAGAGAGUGUUGCAGAGAGAGAACGAGAAUAGAGAUGGAGGCGGGGACCCUAAAAUGAUGACCCUAAAAAUAUUAUAUUUAUAUUAAUAUUUUUCUUUUCUUUUUCUUUUUCUUUUAUUUUCUUUUUUUUUUUUUUUUUUUUUACAAAUAUUACAUACUUAAGUUAUUAAUUUUUAUUUUAAAUUAUAAAAGGGUAUAAUAGUAAAUUUACCGAAAUACUUUCCUUUCCUUUCUUUCCCCAAACAUAAUUAUUAUCCUUCCCUUCCUUUUCCUUCCUUAAUCAACCAAACACAAUACUAAAUUAAAAUUAUCCUUCCCUUCCCUUUCCUUCCAUUUCCCUCAUAACUAAUCUUAUCCUUCCCUUUCAAACCCACCCUACCAAACAUAGCCUUAAUCCGUUCAGUACUCGCAAUCUCUUGGUUCAAAAAAAAAAAAAAAUUUAGGGCAAAUGAUUUCACCUUCCCCAAUCGCCUCCAUCUCUAUUCUCGUUCUCAACUCUGAACUUGCCCUCUCUCUGUCUCUGCAACUACAAACUACAAAAUCUACAAGAAUCAGAAGUUCAAAACCCAUACACUUCAGUUUAUCUAUCUGUCUGCAAGAAUCAAAAGUUCAAAACCUAUUACCUAUAUCAAAACCCAUAUCGGCAUAUCAUUUCAGAUUGUUCAAAAAUCAAAACCCAUAUCUUUCUGUUUCCAUCGCCUGCUGUUCCAGUUCGGGUUCGCCGUUCGCAAGCUUCUGCCGCUGGCCCGCUGUCUCUCAACUCUCAAGCUUGCCCCCCUCUCUCUCUGCUAUGGCUAACUUGAUUUGGAAGACUAAUUGGUAAAUUUGGGUUGAACUUGAGUCUUGAAAAAGCUGAAGGGCCUUAUCGUGGAUUAUAAUUUUUUCAAUUACAGCAUCCUACGGUCCUACCAUUUUUUAGACUGCUUUCAUCACUUCAGACUGACAUUUGUUCUUUGAGCAACUUGGAGGAGCUUGAUUUGAGUGUUAGUGUGAAGGGGUUGAUUACAGGAAAAGGUAUUAUUGUGUCAUAUUCAUUGCAUUGCAUUUUGAGGCAGAGGAAAGAUCAUCAAACCCCGCCAAAUGGGUACCAAGAAUUCUUCUUCCAAAAGAAAAACCUUCAAGACCCCCUCUGAGAUUUUUGGAUGGGCUCAUGCUACAAGACUUCAAGCUCUUUUUGUUUAAGAUGGUUUAAGUAGUGUAUGUAUGUUCAGGUCUUUGAACUCUUUGUUUAGGAAUCUAUAGCUCAUUUUUGUCUAAGAUCUUGAAACCUUUUAUUUAAGAUACUAGCUUGUUUUGGUCCAAAUUAUUAGGGUUGAAAUUGUUUUAGAUGCUAAGACUCAUUUUUUACCGCGAUGGGCUAUAUUAUGUAUGUUGUAAACAAUACAUUUUUUUGUUGGUGUAACUUAUGCAAUAUCGAGUAUUUAUUUGUUUGCAUAA